rnacentral:rRNA from 1 species
UUCACCUACGGGGCGCAGCAGUGGGGAAUAUUGCACAAUGGGGGAAACCCUGAUGCAGCGACGCCGCGUGAGUGAAGAAGUAUUUCGGUAUGUAAAGCUCUGUCAGCAGGGAAGAAAGCAAUGACGGUACCUGACCAAGAAGCCCCGGCUAACUACGUGCCAGCAGCCGCGGUAAUACGUAGGGGGCAAGCGUUAUCCGGAUUUACUGGGUGUAAAGGGAGCGUAGGUGGCAGGGCAAGUCAGAUGUGAAAACCCGGGGCUCAACUCCGGGAGUGCAUUUGAAACUGUCCAGCUAGAGUGCAGGG